GAUGAACGCUGGCGGCGUGCCUAAUACAUGCAAGUCGAGCGAAGCUGGGAGGGAUGAGUAAAACGUGGCUAACCUCCUUUACGACUUGGAUAACUUCGGGCAACCGGAGCUAACCCAGAUAAUUGUAGAUGGAUCCGCGCCGCAUUAGCUAGUUGGUAAGGUAACGGCUUACCAAGGCAACGAUGCAUAGCCGACCUGAGGGGGUGACCGGCCACAUUGGAACUGAGACACGGUCCAGACUCCUACGGGAGGCAGCAGUAGGGAAUCUUCCGCAAUGGGCGAAAGCCUGACGGAGCAACGCCGCGUGUGUGAUGAAGGUCUUCGGGUCGUAAAGCUCUGUUAUUGGGGAAGCGGUACCUAAUGAGAAAGCCACGGCUAACUCCGUGCCAGCAGCCGCGGUAAUUC
rnacentral:rRNA from 1 species